rnacentral:rRNA from 1 species
ACGUAGGGAGCAAGCGUUAUCCGGAAUCACUGGGCGUAAAGAGCUCGUAGGCGGUCUUGUAAGUCGCAUGUUAAAUCCCCGGGCUUAACCCGGGAACUGCGUGCGAAACUGCUUGGCUAGAGGACGGGAGAGGAAAGUGGAAUUCCAGGUGUAGCGGUGAAAUGCAUAGAUAUCUGGAAGAACACCAGUGGCGAAGGCGGCUUUCUGGACCGUUUCUGACGCUGAGGAGCGAAAGCUAGGGGAGAGAACGG